AUGGUGAGUUUCUUUUACUUGGAGAAUCAGUAUAAUCAAAUUGUGGGAUCAAAAGCUAGCCCAAAAGCUAAAGACAUGAUUCGUAACUGGAUAGAUUUAAAGAUUGUGGUUCCAAAACUCAUGUUUUAUCUGUGCAAGUUUUCUACCUGGCUGCUUGGAUUAGGGAUUCAGAUUUGUAAUACCGUUCUAGUUUCUAAGUUCUCAAAAUUUAAUGAUGUCCAAAUCUUAGUUGGUUUUGUUAUUAGUGGUUUUUUUAGAAUGUGGUUAGGAAAUGCCCUAACACAUUAUCUCUCGCAAUGUUUAUACUAUCUGUUUAUUAUCUAA